GCGGGAAAAGAUCUUAACCCGUGAUUGCUGGGACUGGCUCAAGCUCCACCAGGAGCCGUCGUUCUUUUACAAAGAGGGGUGGAGGUUCCAGUGGAGGCUGUUGUUGCCUUUUUUUUUUUUUUUUUAAUGAAUGGAGGGCGGCGGCGACUGCUGCAGCUGGGCCAGCUGCGCGGGCUGCACCCCCUCCCAGCCUGCGAGAGGAGGAAGCUAGUAGAAGAUUUGUACCAACAAAACCAAGGAGUAAACAACUUGAGAAUAACUGCAUGAGCUCAGGGCUUGGACUGUCAGAUUCCAUUUCUAAGCUUCCAGAAGAGCGACACAUAGACACUGGGGAAGUCAGAGCCUUUGAACUCCAAUGCCAUCCCCGUCACCCACCUCCACCACCAGCACCACCACCGAAUGGCACUUUGGACAAUUUUUCCCUCUCAUGUGACUUUUGUCAUUUCUUACGUCAGUUGGAGCCAGCACCUCUCAAAUCCAUCUUCUAAAACCCAGAAAAUUGUGUGUAACACAUGAUGACUGAAAGGGAGUAGGCUGACCAGUUAAGAGCCUGCCACUGGAAUGGAAGGCUGUGGGAAGGUGAGGGGACGGUGGACAUCAACCGGGAAGAGCUGAAAGAUGGCGUUACCAGAACAACUUCCAGUAAAAGAAGGCACUGAGGUUUAAGUGCUACGUGGGAGCAGUUGCCGAUUUUUGCAAUGGGAGGCUGCAUAGAUUCAAGGACUUCCUUGAGUGCUCCAGGAGCUUGUCAUUCCAGAGACAGAGCAGCCCAGAAGUCCUGGGAUUUACACCUCUAGUAGAAACCCUCAACCAGAGAAGGAUGGAAGUCAAUGGCACCACCGAUGGCUCUCAUGGUCCUGUGACCACAUCAUUAGUAUUCUACACCUGGCUCCACUCACAACCCAGCUGUUGGCAGGCAAAGGAGUCCUCCUUUAUGGGAAGGAGAUGAUGCAAGAGAACAUCACCAAAGGCCCCAGGACAUGACUGGUGUCUGAUAAGGGAGGAAAAGGCUUGGAGGUGAGUUAAAAUCUUGAAUCCAAGAAGCUAUACUAAGAGAUAAGUCUGCCUUGGUAUCUAGCAUCUUCAGGAAGGUGCACAUUGCAGUCAAGAUGUCAUUUAUCAGGGCUGGGCGUGGUGGCUCACACCUGUAAUCCCAGCAUGUUGAGAGGCCGAGGCAGGCAGAUCACGAGGUUGGGAGUUUGAGACCAGCCUGACCAACAUGAUGAAACCCCGUCUCUACUAAAAAUACAAAAAAUUAGCCGGGCGUGAUGGCACAUGCCUGUAA
rnacentral:lncRNA from 1 species